CUAAGGCCAUACCACCCUGAAUGCACCUGGUCUCAUGUGAUUUCAAAAGCUAAGCAGUAUCAAGGCUAGUUAGUAUUUGGAUGGGAGAAAUUCUGAAGCAAAAGCAAUGACCACUUAUC
rnacentral:rRNA from 1 species